rnacentral:sRNA from 1 species
AGAAAAUUGCAGAGGGCUGAGCCGAGGAGGUGCACCCGCAGAUAGAGAGGAGCGGUGGGGACAUCAGGACUCAGGAAGUGAGAGGAGGAGGAGAAUCAGAAGAGAGUUGCAGGAAGAAAGGAGCAGGAAACAAUGUUAAAUUGGAAAAGAGAUUACAAAGCAGAUGUGAAAGACAUGCUGAGUCAUUGCUUGACAUUUGUCAUGAUACAAACUGUUCUCCAACUGAUUUGAUGACAGUUACCAAAAAUCAAAACAUCAUCUUGCAAAGCAUCAGCAAAAGUGAGGAGUUCGACCAAGAUGGUGACUGCAGUCAUUCCACACUGGUUAAUGAAGAAGAAGAUCCCAGUGGUGGUAGACAGGACUGGCAACCCAGGACAGAAGGUGUUGAGAUCACUGUAACUUUUCCAAGAGAUGUCAGUCCUCCCCAAGAAAUGAGCCAAGAAGACUUAAAAGAAAAGAAUCUGAUAAACUCAUCGCAUCAAGAAUGGGCACAAGCACAUGCAGUUUCUCAUCCAAAUGAAAUAGAAACGGUGGAGC